UCAGUAACUUCUCCCCCAUCAAAGAGAUCCUCUAUAAAGAGGUCUGGACCUCAGCCCUGGAUGUCAUGCCUCUUCCAGACAUGUUCUUACUUGGGUGCUCUGCAACAGCCCUGGGAGGCAAGGAUUCUGAUUCUGGUUCUGGAAUUUCAACUAACUAGCUGUUUAAGGGUUCCUUGAUCCUGUGUAGUUAAAGGCAGAACUAAGAAGUAUGAUAAAAGCAACCCUCAUCUAAUCAACUGAAAACUUGAAUAGAAGAAAAAGAUUGAGUGUGGCCCAUUUCCUAUAUGCUUGGAGUGAACUUUGGCUACAUAGCUGGCCUUAUUUCACUACUCUGGAUGGUGUACAUUUUUAAAGGCAUCUAAUUGACCCAGUGCCAUUUCGUAAAAGUUCUCCUUUCCCCAUUCAACUGCAGUGGACUCUGUAAUACACAAGAUGAGUGACAAUCUUUGGGUCUGUUUAACAACUGUCUCUCAUGUUGCAUUUUAUAACUCCUAUCUUUGCAUCAAUGCUAUGCUGAUAUUAAUUACUCUCAUUAGUGUUUUAAAUAAGUCUUGAUAUCUGGUAGCAUUGGUUCUCCAACUUUAUGUUCUUCUUGAUUAUUACCUUACCUAUUCUACAUUAUCUGAGCUUAACUGCAUGAGGCAAUUUCCAUUUAAACAUUUCCUCUUAUAAAGCUAUUGACAGCCAAGAGCAUAAUUAGAGUCUAAUAAAACACAGAAAAGUCACAAAUGCAAAGUGGAAUAAACAGUAAACAGUGAGGGAAGAGAAGAUCCCGGAGUGUGAUGGCUGGGGCAAAAAGGAGGCAAAUAUCUAAAAAGCUAAAUAAAAUUCUCUAACAGAGAGGCUCUUCGGGAUGAUGAAGGAAAAUGCAGAGCAGUUACAAUUCUGAAAUUAAUGGUUAUUUCUAAGAAUCAGUCACAUUUCAGAACAUUGACCACUGUACAUAAAAAAAGUCAUUGUCUUUUUAAGUUUUUUCUUAAAAAACUAAUUUUUGU
rnacentral:lncRNA from 10 species